UUGUAUGCUUUCUCCAUAGGAAGUUUGUGGUCUAUGAAGUAUUACGGGAAGAUGAGUUUUCUCCGUUAAAGAAUGCUGACAGCCAGAAUGGGAAAGACAACCCCACCACCGCAAGGCAUGCCUUGCUCUCCCUCCACCACUGCUGGGUCCUCAAUGCAGGGGGCCACUUCAUAGAUGAAAAUGGCUCUCGUCUUCCUGCCAUCCCCCGCCGUGCUACAAAUGGGAAGUCAGAGACCAUCACAGCUGAUGUCAAUCAAAAUUUGAAGGAUGCCAAUGAUGUGCCAAUCCAAUGUGAAAUCUCUCCUCUCAUCUCUUAUGCAGGAGAAGGGAUAGAAAGUUAUGUGGCAGAUAAAGAAUUCCAUGCACCAUUAAUAAUUGAUGAGAAUGGAAUCCAUGAGUUGGUGAAGAAUGGUUUAUGAACACAUCCCACAUACCUACAAUGAAAUAGCUUUUAUUUUUGAUAACCUGACUGUGAAAUGACCCAUCCUGGAGUACUCGUUUGAAUUUCCAUAAGAUUUCAUUUUGCUUGUUGAACUCUUGCAACUAUUACAUAUCCCUCAGACCCAGUUGACUAAAUUUCACAAAACAUUUUUAUGAUUCUCAAAUCAUUGAAGGUUUUAUUUAUAUUUUUCAACUGUAUAAUUGUUUUUCCACGCUAAGGCAAGCAUUGACUGACCAGACAGUUGCCUUCUGCAUAACUCUCAUCAUGGUGUUCAAUAUCUCUUUACCUGGAACUGGAAGCAUGUUUUUGAGGUUGUACAUAUAUUCAUUGUUUUUAUGGUACUAAAAGUUUGUUUUAUUUUAUCAGAAAUGAAACUUUUUAAAGAAAAUAAUUGGACAGUAAAAUAAACUUUUCUUCUGGUCUC